CACGCCGUAAACGAUGAGUGCUAGGCGUUGGGUCCUUUCCGGGACUCAGUGCCGCAGCUAACGCAUUAAGCACUCCGCCUGGGGAGUACGACCGCAAGGUUGAAACUCAAAGGAAUUGACGGGGGCCCGCACAAGCGGUGGAGCAUGUGGUUUAAUUCGAAGCAACGCGAAGAACCUUACCAGGUCUUGACAUCCCUCUGACCGCUCUAGAGAUAGAGUUUUCCUUCGGGACAGAGGUGACAGGUGGUGCAUGGUUGUCGUCAGCUCGUGUCGUGAGAUGUUGGGUUAAGUCNNNNNACGAGCGCAACCCCUAUUGUUAGUUGCCAUCAUUCAGUUGGGCACUCUAGCGAGACUGCCGGUAAUAAACCGGAGGAAGGUGGGGAUGACGUCAAAUCAUCAUGCCCCUUAUGACCUGGGCUACACACGUGCUACAAUGGCUGGUACAACGAGUCGCGAGUCGGUGACGGCAAGCUAAUCUCUUAAAGCCAGUCUCAGUUCGGAUUGUAGGCUGCAACUCGCCUACAUGAAGUCGGAAUCGCUAGUAAUCGCGGAUCAGCACGCCGCGGUGAAUACGUUCCCGGGCCUU
rnacentral:rRNA from 1 species